AGCUGAAUGUGUUCUUUGUGCUCCCUCAUCCUGCGGCCUUCACCAGCUCGGCUGUGUCUUACACAUUUCAGGCUGUGAGACACUCGCUACGCUUCCCUCUUCCCUCGCCCGAGAGCUGCCAAGGAGGGCCUGGGAGGGCCAGCGCUGGAGCAGCUGGAGUGUGGCACCCUGCCAAGCAAAGGCAGCAGCCAGAUAAUCACCAGUUUCGUGAAGUGGUCGCCUUCCUCUUAGACUCUGCAGCCUGUCCAGCUACAUUCUGUCGCCUCUCCCUCCCUCCAAAACCAAGCUGAAAAGUUGCCAGUUAAGAAGUCAGUCUGGAAGCCACUUUACACCGAAGUUGUAUAAUCAGAACUGUUGGUCUUAAGUAUGUGUUUGAGUAAUGUAUUAAACGGCAUUAACACGGACAGUAAAAUG
rnacentral:lncRNA from 1 species